GUGCUGGAGACAGAGUCUGAGGAGAGCUGGACUUGGUUUUUGCAUAAUCUCCGCCGGGCUAUUGCACAUCCCAAUGGGUUGGUCAUUCAUACAGAUGCCUGCAAAGGUUUAGAAGUGGCCGUGGACAAUGUGUUCCCUGGAGUAGAGCAUAGGGAAUGCAUGCGUCACCUUGCUGCAAAUUUCAUGAAGAAAUUCAAAGGAAAGUUGUAUACCGACAAUUUAUGGCCAGCAUCUUUGACAUGCAGUGUGAAGAAGCACAACUACCACUUGAGGCAGUUAUACAUGAAUCCCAAAGUGAAAGAAUACUUGGAAACACACCACUCCAAGUUAUGGGCCAGAAGCCAAUUCAGUGAAGUGAGCAAAGUUGACUAUGUGCACAAUAAUCUAGCAGAGUCUUUCAACUCAACAAUCCGGAAA
rnacentral:rRNA from 1 species